AGAGAGAGAGAGAAAUAGAGAGAGAGCGAAUAAUAAAACUGGUUAUAACCUUCCCUCUCUUUUUAUUUUCAUUUUUUUUAAUUGAUGGGAAUCUUUUAAAUUCCUCUCUCUCU
rnacentral:ribozyme from 15 species